rnacentral:rRNA from 1 species
CGGCCGCGAAUUCACUAGUGAUUAGAGUUAGAUCAUGGCUCAGAUUGAACGCUAACUCCAGGCCUAACCCAGCCAAGUCGAGCGGUAGAGAGAAGCUUGCAUGUCUUGCCAGCGGCGGACGGGUGAGUAAUGCCUAGGAAUCUGCCUGGUAGUGGGGGAUAACGCUCGGAAACGGACGCUAAUACCGCAUACGUCCUACGGGAGAAAGCAGGGGACCUUCGGGCCUUGCGCUAUCAGAUGAGCCUAGGUCGGAUUAGCUAGUUGGUGAGGUAAUGGCUCACCAAGGCGACGAUCCGUAACUGGUCUGAGAGGAUGAUCAGUCACACUGGAACUGAGACACGGUCCAGACUCCUACGGGAGGCAGCAGUGGGGAAUAUUGGACAAUGGGCGAAAGCCUGAUCCAGCCAUGCCGCGUGUGUGAAGAAGGUCUUCGGAUUGUAAAGCACUUUAAGUUGGGAGGAAGGGCAGUAACCUAAUACGUUGCUGUCUUGACGUUACCGA